CGGUGAACACGGAGCUUGCUCUGUGGGAUCAGUGGCGAACGGGUGAGUAACACGUGAGCAACCUGCCCCUGACUCUGGGAUAAGCGCUGGAAACGGCGUCUAAUACUGGAUACGAGUAGCGACCGCAUGGUCAGUUACUGGAAAGAUUUAUUGGUUGGGGAUGGGCUCGCGGCCUAUCAGCUUGUUGGUGAGGUAAUGGCUCACCAAGGCGUCGACGGGUAGCCGGCCUGAGAGGGUGACCGGCCACACUGGGACUGAGACACGGCCCAGACUCCUACGGGAGGCAGCAGUGGGGAAUAUUGCACAAUGGGCGCAAGCCUGAUGCAGCAACGCCGCGUGAGGGAUGACGGCCUUCGGGUUGUAAACCUCUUUUAGCAGGGAAGAAGCGAAAGUGACGGUACCUGCAGAAAAAGCGCCGGCUAACUACGUGCCAGCAGCCGCGGUAAUACGUAGGGCGCAAGCGUUAUCCGGAAUUAUUGGGCGUAAAGAGCUCGUAGGCGGUUUGUCGCGUCUGCUGUGAAAUCCGGAGGCUCAACCUCCGGCCUGCAGUGGGUACGGGCAGACUAGAGUGCGGUAGGGGAGAUUGGAAUUCCUGGUGUAGCGGUGGAAUGCGCAGAUAUCAGGAGGAACACCGAUGGCGAAGGCAGAUCUCUGGGCCGUAACUGACGCUGAGGAGCGAAAGGGUGGGGAGCAAACAGGCUUAGAUACCCUGGUAGUCCACCCCGUAAACGUUGGGAACUAGUUGUGGGGUCCAUUCCACGGAUUCCGUGACGCAGCUAACGCAUUAAGUUCCCCGCCUGGGGAGUACGGCCGCAAGGCUAAAACUCAAAGGAAUUGACGGGGACCCGCACAAGCGGCGGAGCAUGCGGAUUAAUUCGAUGCAACGCGAAGAACCUUACCAAGGCUUGACAUAUACGAGAACGGGCCAGAAAUGGUCAACUCUUUGGACACUCGUAAACAGGUGGUGCAUGGUUGUCGUCAGCUCGUGUC
rnacentral:rRNA from 1 species